CCGCAUAAGUUGCAUCUUUCUGUAAAUAUGGACAAAGAAUAAGGUUGACGGAUUUAGAUGAGUAUUAAGCGAGCCAUAAGUUCUCAUAAAGGGACCGGCACACAUUC